GGGGCUACGGAGUGUAGGUUCCUAGCGAGCCCAACCUCCCACCCGUGUUUACUGUACCUUAGUUGCUUCGGCGGGCCCGCCAUUCAUGGCCGCCGGGGGCUCUCAGCCCCGGGCCCGCGCCCGCCGGAGACACCACGAACUCUGUCUGAUCUAGUGAAGUCUGAGUUGAUUGUAUCGCAAUCAGUUAAAACUUUCAACAAUGGAUCUCUUGGUUCCGGCAUCGAUGAAGAACGCAGCGAAAUGCGAUAACUAGUGUGAAUUGCAGAAUUCCGUGAAUCAUCGAGUCUUUGAACGCACAUUGCGCCCCCUGGUAUUCCGGGGGGCAUGCCUGUCCGAACGUCAUUGCUGCCCAUCAAGCACGGCUUGUGUGUUGGGUCGACGUCCCCUCUCCUGGGGGGACUUUUCCCCAAGGCAGCGUCGGUACCGUUUGCGAUCCUCGAGCAUAAGGCUGUUUUGCCACCCGCUCUGUAGGCCCUGCCUGCGCUUGCCGAAGGAAAAUCAUUCUUUUCCCAGGGUUGACCUCGGAUCAGGGAAGGAAUACCGUCGGAAUUAAUCUUUCCAUAACCGUGAAAGGAAACUUUUACUAAUGGUUUGGUUUCUAAGCCGCCACUCUCCACGCGUGUUUAGUGUACCUUAGUUGCCUCUGCGGGCCCGACCUUCAAGGUCGCCGGGGGCUCUCAGCCCGGGCCGCGCCGGCGGAAACCCACGAUAUCUAUCUGAUCUAUCGUACUCUGAAUUGUUUGCCAUCAACAUCAUUAAAUAUCUCACAAGGCAUCUUCGGUUACUCGUUCAAUUACUACGCGCAAUAAUGCCAUACAUACUGUGACUGUGCAAUACUCUCCACCCCACUCAUUUCAGCACUAGCGUCCGCGCACUCAGGGGGGGAGGAGGACACACUUUUGAGCUAACACACGAUUCGUGGCCUGUGCAUUA
rnacentral:rRNA from 1 species